CGUGCUCGCCUGGCCCGUCUGCCACGCUGCCCCGGGCACUUGGCUGAGGGUGGCAGAGGCACUCGGCUAACCUAAAGUGACACAUGCCUGGCGGGACAGUCAAGCCCUACAAA
ensembl:misc_RNA